rnacentral:snRNA from 1 species
GUUCUCACUUCAGUAGCACAUAGCUAAAAUUGGAAUAACAUAGAGAAGAUUAGCAUGGCUCCUGUGCAAGGAUGACUUGCAAAUUUGUGAAGUAUUCCAUAUUUUU